UACGGAGGGUGCAAGCGUUAUCCGGAUUCACUGGGUUUAAAGGGUGCGUAGGCGGAUAGGUAAGUCCGUGGUGAAAUCCUGCAGCUUAACUGCAGAACUGCCGUGGAUACUAUCUAUCUUGAAUGUCGUGGAGGUUAGCGGAAUAUGUCAUGUAGCGGUGAAAUGCUUAGAUAUGACAUAGAACACCCAUGCGAAGGCAGCUAACUACGCGAUAAUUGACGCUGAUGCACGAAAGCGUGGGGAUCAAACAGG
rnacentral:rRNA from 1 species